AUGCUUGGGUCCGCCGAGCCGAAGCGUCCAUGCCAUGCAGACGUUGACGGCGGCGGUGAGGCGGGCGAUGACCGGCUGAGCGCGCUGCCGGACGACCUCCUCCGCGCCAUCCUCUCGCGCCUCAAGGCCCGGCAGGCGGUGCAGACGUGCGCGCUCGCCGCGCGGUGGCGGCACCUCUGGCGCGCCGUGCCGUGUCUCGACAUCAACGAGCGGGAGUUUUAUACCCGCUACAAUCCUGAGUACUUCACGACCAACCUUCUGCGCGACCAAUCUUGGAUUUCCAACCUACGAAGGAGCUAUAUUCAGAAAUUAGAAGCGGGACUGGAUUUAAUGGCAAGCUCCAUCCCUGGCCUGAAUGACUACAUUCAGCAUCAUCUACAAUUCCACAAACCUACUGACAUGGAAAAUGCAUGUUGGCACAGGCCCACACGCACCCGAGCCCCAUCAUCACAACACUCGAAGGCAACACCUUCAAGAGGGGAUUGCUACUCAACCGUCAAUGUUGCCCGACCCAACCAGGAAGAGAAAACUUCAUAUUUGUGUUCAUGGGAGUACUACAGGGAGAGCUAUAUUUCGCCAUGUAUUUGCAUUGUGACCAGGAGGAAAAUUCUAAAUUUUGCCAUCUUUGGAAGAUAA
rnacentral:rRNA from 1 species